UUAUCAAAAGUAGAGGGACGAAGAGCCGUUCGUGCUACCACGAAAAAGGCUUUAUGUAUUCUCGACCCGUCCAACAUGAGACAGGAGAGAAUUACAAAGUAAACUCGCGGAAUUCGAAUGUUUGGAGAAUUGGGGGGAGCAGCAAAGCUGCGGAGCUAUUAGUAAGUAUUGAUCA
rnacentral:sRNA from 10 species